GACAACAGAAGCCACAGAAAUCCUCCUCAUCAAAAACAUGACUUUGAUCUCCGUCCUCAUCUGGACUCUCCUCUGCUGCUGCUUCACAGAGUCCAGAGGCCAGAUCACAGUGACUCAGUCUGCAGCAGUGAGAUCUGAACUGGGAGGAUCUGCAACCAUCAACUGUAAGACCAGUCAGAGAGUUUAUGGUGGGAGCUACCUAUUCUGGUACCAACAGAAAUAUGGACAAGUUCCUAAGCUGCUCAUUAAGUAUGCUAAUCAACGAGAAUCAGGGAUUCCAGAUCGUUUUUCAGGCAGUGGAUCACACUCUGACUUCACUCUGACCAUCAGUCGAGUUCAGGCUGAAGAUGCAGCAGUUUAUUACUGUCAGAGUUAUCAUGAAAUCAACAGUCAGCUUGUGUUCACACAAACCAUCAGCUGUAAGACCAGUCAGGAUGUUCAUAAUCUUUUGAACACCAUCCAUUAUUUGGCCUGGUACCAACAUAGAGAUGGAGAAGCUCCUAAACUUCUAAUUUACUGGGCUACCUAUGGAGAAUCAGGGAUUCCAGGUCGUUUUUCAGGCAGUGGAUCAAACUCUGACUUCACUCUGACCAUCAGUGGAGUUCAGGCUGAAGAUGCAGCAGUUUAUUACUGUCAGAGUUAUCAUAGCAUCAACAGUCAGUGGGUGUUCACACAGUGA